GCACCGUGGGGAGCUGCUCAUGCCCUGCUCAAGCAUGGCUGGAGGAGACAGCAAAAGAAUGAUGCUGCCCUUGGGCACCCGUUGGAUGUGGGUCUUCCUGGUCCUGCUCCUGCUUUGUAGCAUCCACUCACUUCUCGCGGCACCGAUUCAGCCUGAUUCAGAGCAGAGUGCAGAGGAACC